UGAGGAAUAUUGGACAAUGGAGGCAACUCUGAUCCAGCCAUGCCGCGUGCAGGAAGACUGCCCUAUGGGUUGUAAACUGCUUUUAUACGGGAAGAAACCCUCCCACGUGUGGGGGGCUGACGGUACCGUAAGAAUAAGCAUCGGCUAACUCCGUGCCAGCAGCCGCGGUAAUACGGAGGAUGCAAGCGUUAUCCGGAAUCAUUGGGUUUAAAGGGUCCGUAGGCGGACGAUUAAGUCAGGGGUGAAAGUUUGCAGCUCAACUGUAAAAUUGCCCUUGAUACUGGUUGUCUUGAAUUACUGUGAAGUGGUUAGAAUAUGUAGUGUAGCGGUGAAAUGCAUAGAUAUUACAUAGAAUACCAAUUGCGAAGGCAGAUCACUAACAGUAUAUUGACGCUGAGGGACGAAAGCGUGGGGAGCGAACAGGAUUAGAUACCCCGCGUAGUC
rnacentral:rRNA from 1 species